rnacentral:rRNA from 3 species
GGUUAAGUUAAUAAGGGCGCACGGUGGAUGCCUUGGCACUAGAAGCCGAUGAAGGACGUGACUAACGACGAAAUGCUUUGGGGAGCUGUAAGUGAGCAAUGAUCCAGAGAUG